rnacentral:rRNA from 1 species
UACGAAGGGUGCAAGCGUUACUCGGAAUUACUGGGCGUAAAGCGUGCGUAGGUGGUGGUUUAAGUCAGAUGUGAAAGCCCUGGGCUCAACCUGGGAACUGCAUUUGAUACUGGAUCACUAGAGUGCGGUAGAGGAUAGUGGAAUUCCCGGUGUAGCAGUGAAAUGCGCAGAUAUCAGGAAGAACACCCGUGGCGAAGGCGGCUCUCUGGGACGGUACUGACGCUGAGACGCGAAAGCGUGGGGAGCGAACAGG